rnacentral:rRNA from 1 species
ACUCCUACGGGAGGCAGCAGUGGGGAAUAUUGCACAAUGGGCGCAAGCCUGAUGCAGCCAUGCCGCGUGUGUGAAGAAGGCCUUCGGGUUGUAAAGCACUUUCAGCGGGGAGGAAGGCGAUAAGGUUAAUAACCUUGUCGAUUGACGUUACCCGCAGAAGAAGCACCGGCUAACUCCGUGCCAGCAGCCGCGGUAAUACA